GGCCACCUGGACAGGAACUGACGCUGAGGCGCGAAGGCGUGGGGAGCAAACGGGAUUAGAUACCCCGGUAGUCCACGCAGUAAACGAUGUCUAUUAGAAGUUUGUGGCUAUAUGCCGUGGGUUUCAAAGCUAACGCAUUAAAUAGACCGCCUGGGGAGUACGGCCGCAAGGUUAAAACUCAAAUGAAUUGACGGGGGCCCGCACAAGCGGUGGAGCAUGUGGUUUAAUUCGAUGCAACGCGAAGAACCUUACCAUCCCUUGACAUCCAGAGAAUCACCUAGAGAUAGAUGAGUGCCUUCGGGAACUCUGAGACAGGUGCUGCAUGGCUGUCGUCAGCUCGUGUUGUGAAAUGUUGGGUUAAGUCCCGCAACGAGCGCAACCCUUAUCCUUAGUUGCCAGCACGUAAUGGUGGGAACUCUAGGGAGACUGCCGGUGAUAAACCGGAGGAAGGUGGGGACGACGUCAAGUCAUCAUGGCCCUUACGGGAUGGGCUACACACGUGCUACAAUGGCAAAUACAAAGGGUUGCUCACCAGCGAUGGUAUGCGAAUCUCAUAAAGUUUGUCGUAGUCCGGAUCGGAGUCUGCAACUCGACUCCGUGAAGUUGGAAUCGCUAGUAAUCGUGGAUCAGAAUGCCACGGUGAAUACGUUCCCGGGCCUUGUACACACCGCCCGUCACACCAUGGGAGUGGGCUGCACCAGAAGUCAUUAGCUUA
rnacentral:rRNA from 1 species